GUGAAUCCUGUGCAAUUUUAGGUUGGUGAUCUGAAAUUGCGUAAAAUUGAUCAAUUUAUGAUCACGCACACACAUACCGGGGAGAUAGAGGAGGAGAGUGUUGCAAUCUUCCUGUUGUAUCAAAUCGGAAGCCGGCUGAAAGAGGGAAAGAACAGAGGUUGCUUUUGUUGGGAACUUCAACUACCCCUCCACCUCCACGGUUUCGAUUUCUUCUCUCUUUUUUUAGUAAGUAUUUCAUCAACCAUAUGCUAGCUCACUUACUGAACCGAGUUAUUACAAGGUAGAAAAAUUUGUCAAAGAAGUAGUUUGAAAUGAAUUGAUGUUUUUAGACUAAAUAUUGUAUAUUCUUAUAUUUAAUAAUAUACUAAUUCAUAGUAA